GUCUGGGUGCCUAGAGUGGUCCUUUAAGACAAAAUUGAGGUCUUUGGAUAGAAUGUGGAGGUGAACUGUGAGACGGAGAUUGAAGAUACAUUUACAAUGUCCAUAGACUUGCUAUUGCUUGCUAAAAUCUUCCUCUCCUAGUUCUUCUAAAUAAUCUCAUGUCUAGACUCAUUUUUUUCUCAAAUUGCUGUUUCACUCAUUUCUAAUUUUAA